AGUGAACGCUGGCGGUAGGCCUAACACAUGCAAGUCGAACGGCAGCACAGUAAGAGCUUGCUCUUACGGGUGGCGAGUGGCGGACGGGUGAGGAAUAGAUCGGAAUCUACUUUUUCGUGGGGGAUAACGUAGGGAAACUUACGCUAAUACCGCAUACAACCUACGGGUGAAAGCAGGGGAUCUUCGGACCUUUCGCGAUUGAAUGAGCCGAUGUCGGAUUAGCUAGUUGGCGGGGUAAAGGCCCACCAAGGCGACGAUCCGUAGCUGGUCUGAGAGGAUGAUCAGCCACACUGGAACUGAGACACGGUCCAGACUCCUACGGGAGGCAGCAGUGGGGAAUAUUGGACAAUGGGCGCAAGCCUGAUCCAGCAAUACCGCGUGGGUGAAGAAGGCCUUCGGGUUGUAAAGCCCUUUUGUUGGGAAAGAAAAGCAGCAGGUUAAUACCCCGCUGUUCUGACGGUACCCAAAGAAUAAGCACCGGCUAACUUCGUG
rnacentral:rRNA from 1 species